UGUAGCGUCAUACCCAAGAAGACUCAAGGCUUGAAUUGCUCCCAAAGGUGCUUCAACAAAGUACUGAGUAAAGAGUCUGUAUACUUAUGUAAAUUAGAUAUUUCAUUUUUUGUGAUAUUCCGUUGUUUUUUAGAAAACAGUUUUUGCUUUGUCAUUAUGGGGUAUUGUGUGUAGAUUUAUGAGGGGAGUAAACAAUUUCAUCCAUUUUAGAAUAAGGCCGUAACGUAGCAAAAUGUGGAAAAAGUCAAGGGGUCUGAAUACUUUCCGAAUACACUGUAUAUGUUUAUUUCACCCUAUUAUUUCAAUGUAUGUAUUUAUGUUAUGCGUGUGUAUAAUGUGUGUUUGUAUGUAUGCUUGUUUGUACUGCAGUUUUGUGGGGUAUUGUGCAGGUGCUUGUAGCCAUAGUGAGGAUGUGGUGACUGCUCUUAUUGUGCUGUUUUCCCCUGUGCCCAUCACCCUACCUCUGGUAUUCUUCCACCUGUACCCCAUCAACGAGGAUCGACGCUUCCAGCUCCAGAGAGCUAGGAAGAGAUGUUGAAGCCAUACAUUCAACUGAUAUAGAAGAAAAGAUAGGAUCACACAUUCAUCAGUCAAGACACCAAACACAUGAGUCCAGUCUGAAGUCAUGUGGCGAGUCACAGCCAACUAAGUCCAGUUGCAUUUUAAACAGGUCUACCUUAAAGUCACAACCUCAGAGGCUCCAAAAAGUUAAAUAACCAAUCACACACAUCUGCUCAUCAAAAUCCACUGGGGUUCAGGCCUGAUUUUAAUUCCCAUUCACAAGUAUCUAAGCCCAACUCAGAUCACCUUCUAUGGAAUUCUUGGCCAAAUUCUAAUCACUGCUCACAUACUGUAAAUCUGAUCAUAGGAUGUCUAACAAGUCUGAAGGAAAAUGUAAAAUUACAUAUGUCUAAAAAAUCAUAUAUAUAAACAAUUGUGCCGAUGUCACGGGCGGGAUCUUCUACAUCAGCAGUCCCCAAUUACAUUCAGACAUUUUUACUUGAGCGGAUGGUCGGGCGGUCGGAACAUGGUUAUAAAUCAUUUGUACACUGCAAAUUGACCAUAAGAAUCCUAAACAGAUAUAUUAUUAUUAGACAAAAACUAAAUCAUUUCAAACCUUGAUUACAUUGGGAUAUAAUCACAUAUGCCUAUACUUGUGUGGGAAUACUUGGGAACAGAUUUCCUAAAUUAAAAUCACUUUGAACUGAUUUCCUGAUGAUUGUACAGUCUUUUAUGUCUAACAAUGAUUAAUGCAACCAAAACCAAAGACCUGGUCAUUGACUUCAGAAGAGACCAACCUAGCAUCCAAGCGCUGGACAUUAACGGACAGAUCAUUGAGCGAGUGGAGGACUACAUAUACCUAGGAACCAGCAUUGACAACAAGUUCUCCUUCAAAAGAAACAUUGAACACAUUCAUUCAAAAUGUCAACAACGCUUGUUCUUUCUACAGAAAUUGAGGAAGUUUGAAUGUACACCAAUCAAUCCUACAAGCAUUUUAUAUAUGCUUUAUAGAAUCCAUCUUAGGCUUUAAUAUUGUGAGGUGGUUUGCUCUAGAGAACACAAGUCAGAACCCAUUGAACAGGGUAAUAAGAAUCAGUAGGAAGGUAAUCGGAACAAGUCAGGAACCCCUCAAUGACAUUUACAAAAAAUGAGUGAGGAAGAAGGGGGAACAAACAGCAUUUGACAUAACACACACACUGAAUGACCAGUAUAGCCCCUUAGCCUCCGGGCGCAGGUUUUUAGCUCUCCCAUUCAAAUCUAAGAAUUUGUGCAAACAUCCAUCAAACUCCUUAGCUCUAAGUUUUUGUUUGCAUAUACCCUGGGAUUGCAUAGAAUGCUUCUAAUCCUUUAUACUGUACCCGACAGUACAUGUGUUCUAUGUUGAUACAGUAUGUGUCUUGUAUGUACCAUUUGUCACCACAUAUGAAGUUCCCUCCCACUAAAUAAAAGUUACAUGAAUUU